rnacentral:rRNA from 1 species
AGUGAACGCUGGCGGUAGGCCUAACACAUGCAAGUCGAACGGCAGCACAGUAAGAGCUUGCUCUUACGGGUGGCGAGUGGCGGACGGGUGAGGAAUACAUCGGAAUCUACUUUUUCGUGGGGGAUAACGUAGGGAAACUUACGCUAAUACCGCAUACGACCUACGGGUGAAAGCAGGGGAUCUUCGGACCUUGCGCGAUUGAAUGAGCCGAUGUCGGAUUAGCUAGUUGGCGGGGUAAAGGCCCACCAAGGCGACGAUCCGUAGCUGGUCUGAGAGGAUGAUCAGCCACACUGGAACUGAGACACGGUCCAGACUCCUACGGGAGGCAGCAGUGGGGAAUAUUGGACAAGGGGCGCAAGCCUGAUCCAGCCAUACCGCGUGGGUGAAGAAGGCCUUCGGGUUGGAAAGCCCUUUUGUUGGGAAAGAAAAGCAGCAGGUUAAUACCCCGCUGUUCUGACGGUACCCAAAGAAUAAGCACCGGCUAACUUCG